rnacentral:rRNA from 1 species
UAAAACGUAGGAGGCAAGCGUUAUCCGGAGUUACUGGGCGUAAAGCGUAUGUAGGCGGCUGGGCAAGUGGCGUGUGAAAGCUCCCGGCUAAACUGGGAGACGACAGGUCAGACUGCUCGGCUCGAGUCCGAUAGAGGGGCGUAGAAUUCCGGGUGUAGCGGUGAAAUGUGUAGAGAUCCGGAGGAAUACCAGUGGCGCAAGCGACGCCCUGGGUCGGGACUGACGCUGAGAUACGAAAGCGUGGGGAGCGAACGGGAUUAGAGACCCCGGUAGUCCACGCUGUAAACGAUGCGAACUGGGUGUUCACUGUCCGACAGGACAGGGAGUGCCGAAGCUAACGCGCUAAGUUCGCCGCCUGGGGAGUACGGUCGCAAGACUA